rnacentral:rRNA from 1 species
UACGUAGGGUGCGAGCGUUGUCCGGAAUUACUGGGCGUAAAGAGCUCGUAGGUGGUUUGUCGCGUUGUUCGUGAAAACUCACAACUCAAUUGUGGGCGUGCGGGCGAUACGGGCAGACUGGAGUACUGCAGGGGAGACUGGAAUUCCUGGUGUAGCGGUGGAAUGCGCAGAUAUCAGGAGGAACACCGGUGGCGAAGGCGGAUCUCUGGGCCUUACCCGACGCUCAGGCGCGAAAGCUAGGGGAGCGAACAGG